GGCCAGACUCCUACGGGAGGCAGCAGUGGGGAAUAUUGCACAAUGGGGGAAACCCUGAUGCAGCGACGCCGCGUGAGUGAAGAAGUAUUUCGGUAUGUAAAGCUCUAUCAGCAGGGAAGAAAAUGACGGUACCUGACUAAGAAGCCCCGGCUAACUACGUGCCAGCAGCCGCGGUAAUACGUAGGGGGCAAGCGUUAUCCGGAUUUACUGGGUGUAAAGGGAGCGUAGACGGCAUGGCAAGUCAGAUGUGAAAGCCCGGGGCUCAACCCCGGGACUGCAUUUGAAACUGUCAGGCUGGAGUGCAGGAGAGGUAAGUGGAAUUCCUAGUGUAGCGGUGAAAUGCGUAGAUAUUAGGAGGAACACCAGUGGCGAAGGCGGCUUACUGGACUGUAACUGACGUUGAGGCUCGAAAGCGUGGGGAGCAAACAGGAUUAGAUACCCUCGUAUC
rnacentral:rRNA from 1 species